rnacentral:rRNA from 1 species
AUUGAACGCUGGCGGCAUGCCUUACACAUGCAAGUCGAACGGUAACAGGUCUUCGGAUGCUGACGAGUGGCGAACGGGUGAGUAAUACAUCGGAACGUGCCUAGUAGUGGGGGAUAACUACUCGAAAGAGUGGCUAAUACCGCAUGAGAUCUACGGAUGAAAGCAGGGGAUCGCAAGACCUUGUGCUACUAGAGCGGCCGAUGGCAGAUUAGGUAGUUGGUGGGAUAAAAGCUUACCAAGCCGACGAUCUGUAGCUGGUCUGUGAGGACGAUCAGCCGCACUGGGACUGAGACACGGCCCAGACUCCUACGGGAGGCAGCAGUGGGGAAUUUUGGACAAUGGGCGAAAGCCUGAUCCAGCAAUGCCGCGUGCAGGAUGAAGGCCUUCGGGUUGUAAACUGCUUUUGUACGGAACGAAAAGCCCCGGGUUAAUACCCUGGGGUCAUGACGGUACCGUAAGAAUAAGCACCGGCUAACUACGUGCCAGCCGCCGCGGUAA